GAUGAACGCUGGCGGCGUGCCUAAUACAUGCAAGUCGAGCGAACAGACGAGGAGCUUGCUCCUCUGACGUUAGCGGCGGACGGGUGAGUAACACGUGGAUAACCUACCUAUAAGACUGGGAUAACUUCGGGAAACCGGAGCUAAUACCGGAUAAUAUAUUGAACCGCAUGGUUCAAUAGUGAAAGACGGUUUUGCUGUCACUUAUAGAUGGAUCCGCGCCGCAUUAGCUAGUUGGUAAGGUAACGGCUUACCAAGGCAACGAUGCGUAGCCGACCUGAGAGGGUGAUCGGCCACACUGGAACUGAGACACGGUCCAGACUCCUACGGGAGGCAGCAGUAGGGAAUCUUACGCAAUGGGCGAAAGCCUGACGGAGCAACGCCGCGUGAGUGAUGAAGGUCUUCGGAUCGUAAAACUCUGUUAUUAGGGAAGUACAAAUGUGUAAGUAACUAUGCACGUCUUGACGGUACCUAAUCAGAAAGCCACGGCUAACUACGUG
rnacentral:rRNA from 1 species